AAUUGUCACGGCUCCGCUUACCCUUCCUCUUCCAUCGAUGACGACAGCGACGACAACCUCAUCAAGAAGAAGAGAAACUCGCGGCCCAAUAAGCCCUCCGCUGCGCCUUUCUCGGCCACAUCUCCUCCUACUUCAUCUAUCCGAUGCCAGCAAACUCAUCGUCGCCUUCGUCCGCAGCUGCCCCCCAUCGGACCAUCACCGUCUUCCCCUGCAGCCCCUCUGGGGUCAACCUAUGCACAUCCGGAUCCAUGAACCUCGCUGCGGGCCGGGCCCAAGAUGAUCGCGGUCCUCGAGGUCCUCGUUGGGGGUUUCUCCUUCGGAGUACCUGGUUCACGCCUUGUCUCGGAUGGACGCUAUGGUUGUCAGUGAAGCUAUCCGUCAUGAGUUGCAAAUCGACGAAGUGGAUGGGACGAGAUCAGUUAUUGCCAACCUUGAAGGAGUCAUAUUUGAGAUAACCGUGAAGCGAGAUUAAGAUUAUGUUAACAAGUGCAUCUUCUUUGUUUACUUAAAAACAAAAGGAUGGUCAAAUUGUGGCAAUACUAUGUUUCUUUUGAGAAUCCACUAUAAAAGUUAUUGCCAAUUUGAUUUUUGUUAACAAA